rnacentral:rRNA from 1 species
AAAGGAAUUGACGGGGGCCCGCACAAGCGGUGGAGCAUGUGGUUUAAUUCGAUGCAACGCGAAGAACCUUACCAGGUCUUGACAUCCGUGGAACCCAGAUGAAAGUUUGGGGUGCCUUCGGGAGCCACGAGACAGGUGGUGCAUGGUUGUCGUCAGCUCGUGUCGUGAGAUGUUGGGUUAAGUCCCGCAACGAGCGCAACCCUUGCUAUUAGUUGCUAACGGUUCGGCCGAGCACUCUAAUGGGACUGCCUGUGACAAGCAGGAGGAAGGUGGGGAUGACGUCAAAUCAUCAUGCCCUUUAUGACCUGGGCUACACACGUGCUACAAUGGAUGGUACAGAGAGCAGCAAGACCGCGAGGUGGAGCGAAUCUCAAAAAGCCAUUCUCAGUUCGGAUUGUAGUCUGCAACUCGACUACAUGAAGUCGGAAUCGCUAGUAAUCGCGAAUCAGCAUGUCGCGGUGAAUGCGUUCCCGGGCCUUGUACACACCGCCCGU